AAAGUAGAAGCUGAACGAGGGAAAAACUCUCUCAGCCAAAGACCGUUCUCUCAGCCAUGGCUUCUGAACUCCAUGAAGCGAUUUUUAUGGCCAAGCAAGAACGACACAAGAAUCUUUUCCUAAACUACAGAAACCUCAACCAUUUCCCUGUGGAGCUUCUCAAAGAUGAAGGGAUGCAGUUCCUGGAGCGUCUCUUCAUGAAGAGAAACUCCCUCACAACACUUCCAGAGAAUCUGGGUCAGAAACUUCCCAACCUAAUAGAAUUAUACCUGCACUCAAACAAUAUUGCAAUGAUUCCCCAAGCAAUUGGCAACUUAGUGAAGCUGCAGUCACUGGACCUGAGUGACAACGCUCUUCAGGUCAUCUGUCCAGAGAUUGGUCAGCUGCGCUCAUUACGACAUCUGCGAUUGGCCAACAAUCAACUGAAAUUUCUCCCGCAAGAGCUGGGAGAUCUCAGAGAGCUGGAGACCCUCGACGUGUCCAUGAACCUCCUGAGGACUCUUCCGGAGCGUCUGCACCAGUGUCAGUCCCUGCAGUGCCUGACGGCAGACCGCAACCUGCUGCACUGCGUUCCUCGCCAGCUCUGUCUGCUGCCCGACCUCAAUGAGCUUUCCAUGGCUGCCAACUGCCUGACAUCACUGCCCCUGGAUCUGGGACGCUCCAUGGAGCUACAGUUUGUCUUUGUGGACAACAAUGCUCAUCUGAAGGGACUCCCAUCCUAUCUUUAUAACAAAGUCAUCGGCUGCAGUGGGUGUGGUCUAGCUGCACAGAUCUCUGACGUGAAGCAGAUCUGUCUGACACUGGGAGAUGUGACUAUUCCUCUGCCCUCUGAAGUGAAGGCCAUCGGCUCGGAGACCGACCACGUGUUGCCUCUGGAAGAGCUGGCGUGCAGAGUCCUACAUGCAGCCCACAACUGGACCAGUAAGGAUGUGAAGUUUCGGACACCGUUUCUGUUGCCCAAGAGUCUGCUAGAUGUGGUUCAGUGGCCUCUGGGUCACUGUCACCGCUGUAGUCAGCCCAUGUUCACCAUCGUCUACCCUAAACUGUUUCCUCUCAGAGAGACCGCACUCGCAGGAGUACACAAGAGAACCACUGUGAGUUUUGUAGCAUACUGCUGCUCUAGCCACUGUCUGAGGACGUUUGACCUGCAGAGCUGAUGUCUCACAUACGCUAACCUCACAUCACUGCUCAUGGUGCUUUCAUCUUCACGAAAGACUUGAAGAAUACCGCAAGAGACUUUGAAGAACUGACACCUGUCUGAGCUUCUGACAGCUCACCGUCCUGAAGAUCUUCACGACAGCCAUUACAUACUGCCCUUCAGAAGCUACAGAAGACUUGCUUACAUGUUUCCCAGAAGACAAAUUAAAAACGUUUUCAUCCUUAAUGUGUUGUGUUUCCUUCUGAAGCAUCAGUGAGUGUUUGAACCUUCUGUAAUAGCUCAGUUGUCCUCAGUGUGAAAAGAUGGAUCUCAAAGUCAUAUAGUCAUUAUUAGAAAGGGUUCAAAUACACAAAAAUGCUGAAAAACCAAAGAAUUUGUGGGACCUGAAGGAUUUUUCUGAAGAACAGAGGGCAUUUUAACUGUUAAGGACAAACAAGGGACUCAAGAAUCACUAAACACACACACACACACAAAAAACAGCUGUGGAUCAUUCAGGUAACAACAUAGUAUUAAGAAUCAAGGGUAUGUAAACUUUUGAACAGGGUCAUUUUUACAAAUUAAACUAUUAUUUUCUAUUGUGAACCAUAUGUAAACGUCUUUUAUGUGAAAUAUCUUAUUCAAGUCAGUACUAAAUAAAAAAUAACAUGCAUUUUGUAUGAUCCCUCUUAUUUUGAUAAAAUAAUUAAAAUGACAUAUUCUGCAAGGUGUAUGUAAACAUUUGACCUCAACUGUCCUUAAAACUGAGUUUUAAGUGAGAUAUGGAUAUUUUUGUUUCCAUUUGAAAGGAAAAUAGAGUUUUUUGAGAAAAUAUUACUGAAAUGUCACGUUCCUUUAGAUUCAUAUCUCACUACGGCUUUUAACCAUGACACAAUACUUUAAAAGUGGCUUUUUAAAGAUAAAUGUGUGUAAUUUCAAUCUGAGGCUCAUUAACAAUUGUUUGUGUGCUGUUGAAAGUGAGCAGCACUGUAGGUCUUUUCAAAGAAAAUCAUGCGUGUUGUAUGUUAUGGAAUUUUGUGAAGUUCUGAACAGACUGUUAUAAAGUGCCAAUUGACUUUUAUGAAAAACAUGCAGUUGAUUGUUCUCUUUGAAGGCAGCUUCAAGGGAUUGUUCUAUUUUUGUGAGAGAUAAUAUUUUCAAAAGACUUGAGACACUUGAAAUGUGGAGAUUUGCUGAUGCUACACUACAUCUGUCAGUCAGUGUGCCAUACACCACAGCAAACCAUCGUUGUUCAGCUUUUAGUAUUUAUAAUAUUCUCUGUCCCUUCAAUUAGAUGUGAGCAAUAGGAUGACUUUCUUAAAGGGAUAGUUUACCCAAAAAAUGAAAAUCACCCCAUGAUUUACUCACCCUUAAGCCUUUUUAGGAUUUUCUUCUUUUAGAUGAACACAAGCAGAGUUAUAUUCAAAAUGUCCUAAGCUUUAUAAUGCCAGUGAAUGGGGGGUGAGAUUUUAAAGCCCAAAAAUUAUAAAGCUUGGAAAAGCCAGAACAUUUUGAAUAUAACUCCAAUAGUAUUUGUCUGGAAGAAGAAAGUCAUAUACACCUAAGAUGACUUGAGGGUGAGUAAAUCAUGGAGUAAUUUUCAUUUUUGGGUGAACUUUCCUUUAAGUUAAAGUGUUGAUGUUACUGUUACAGUUUUCUUAAAAAAAGCAACCAGGUAUUCUAGAAUAGACAACCUAGGACCUGGCUUUUUUAUUUUCUCUUAAGAGUGUUUGUUCAAACAUUUUACAUGUUACAAUGUUCUUGCUGUUUCAUUGGCAUUUAAAACUAAAUAACUGUGCUCUUGUUGAAAUGUUUGGCAAUAAUAACAACGUUUAAAACA